rnacentral:rRNA from 1 species
CAGCAGCCACGGGAAUACGAAGGGGGCUAGCGUUGUUCGGAUUAACUGGGCGUAAAGGGUGCGUAGGCGGGCUUUUAAGUCAGGGGUGAAAUCCCAAGGCUCAACCUUGGAACUGCCUUCAAUACUGGCGAUCUUGAGUAUGAGAGAGGUGUGUGGAACUCCGAGUGUAGAGGUGAAAUUCGUAGAUAUUCGGAAGAACACCCGUGGCGAAGGCGACACACUGGCUCAUUACUGACGCUGAGGCUCGAAAGCGUGGGGAGCAAACAGGAUUAGAUACCCCCGUAGUCCCUGUCUCUUAUAC